UACGGAAGGCAGCAGUGGGGAAUAUUGCACAAUGGGCGCAAGCCUGAUGCAGCCAUGCCGCGUGUAUGAAGAAGGCCCUUCGGGUUGUAAAGUACUUUCAGUCGUGAGGAAGGUGUUAAGGUUAAUAACCUUAGCAAUUGACGUUAGCGACAGAAGAAGCACCGGCUAACUCCGUGCCAGCAGCCGCGGUAAUACGGAGGGUGCGAGCGUUAAUCGGAAUUACUGGGCGUAAAGGGCACGCAGGCGGUUAAUUAAGUUGGAUGUGAAAUCCCCGGGCUUAACCUGGGAAUGGCAUUCAAGACUGGUUAGCUAGAGUCUUGUAGAGGGGGUAGAAUUCCAUGUGUAGCGGUGAAAUGCGUAGAGAUGUGGAGGAAUACCGGUGGCGAAGGCGGCCCCUGGACAAAGACUGACGCUCAUGUGCGAAAGCGUGGGGAGCAAACAGGGAUUAGAUACC
rnacentral:rRNA from 1 species